CUGUCUCUCUUUCUGUCUCUCUUUGUCUGUCUGUCUCUCUCUGUCUCUGUCUCUCUGUCUGUCCCCAGAUGCCACCAGUGCUCCCCCUGUCUGUUUCUCAUCCGUGAACAAACAGGGAAACAAAUAUGGGAACUGUGGUCAGCUGACCAACGGCUCGUACGUCCCGUGUGGGACCGCGGACGUCCACUGCGGCAGGAUCCAGUGUCAGGGCGGGAGGGAGCGCCCCCUGCUGGGCACCAACGCCGAGAUCCUCACCACCACGGUCCGCUUCAACCACAGCGACCUGGUCUGCAGGGGCACCUUCUUCCACCUGGGAGACGACGUGUCGGACCCCGCCACCGUGGCCCAGGGCACCGCCUGCAGCCCCGGCAAGGCGUGUUUGAACCAGAAGUGUCAGGACGUGUCGGUGUUCGGGUUGAACGAGUGUCUCAGGAAGUGCAACGGACACGGGGUGAGUGGAGGAC